UGGGGUCACCUUUAGAGGACCCAGCAAAUGUAACCAGAGCCCCAAAGAGUGGUAAGGAGCUGCUGUAAAAAGACAGGGAAAGAGAAUCCCCACAGAAAGGAUGUUGGGGCAGAGUUCCCCAGCUGGUUCAAACUUGAUGUUCUUAAAGGCGAGCAUGCAGGUACAUCUCUGGAAUCUAUGAGGACGAGCUCACAGCCGGGUUGCCAACUGUGUCAAAGAAGACUACUGUGAGAAGAAACAAACACUAAACCGAAACCGCAUCACAACACAAGAAGGCCUACUGAAUCUGCCACAAAGAGCACCACUAGUGACUCAGAAACUCAUUUUCAGGAGUCUUAGGGCACAUUUGUGUUUUAAGAAGUGAAAAGGCGUGACAUUAAGUGACAAUGGACGUCUGAAGUGCUGUGUGCAAGAACACUGACUAGGGAUGCAGUGGAGGCACAAUGGAGUAGCAACCUGACUGACCUGACAACUGUCUUAGAAGGCCAGAGGUAAAGUUAGCUGCUGUGUGCUGACCUCCAUGCUGAUGGGAGCGAGCUUACUUGCUCCCCUGACUGCACUUCUGUGGCAGCUUCUCUAGACAGAUGCUCCAGCUACACUUUGUGUCCACGGGGACAUCUGAGCCUCUUCUCCUGAGGACUCUGCCGCAUCACUCUGACCUGAGCACCAGUUGGAAGUCUGGCUAGGUUUGGUAUGUUGAGAUGAAAUAAAAUG